rnacentral:tRNA from 1 species
CCUUCUUAGCUCAGUAGGCAGUGGGUCAGUCUCAUAAGCUGAAGGUCCUGAGUUCAAUCCUCAAAAGGAGGA